GCAAUGGUCGUUCAGUGGCAGAAUCUUUGCCUUUCAUGCAGGAGGCCCGGGUUCAAUUCCUGGCCAUUGCA